GCCUGGCUGGCUCAGUUGGUUAAGCGUCUGACUUCAGUUCAGAUCAUGAUCUCACGGUCCGUGGGUUCGAGCCCCGCGUCGGGCU
rfam:Felis catus isolate Cinnamon breed Abyssinian chromosome A2, whole genome shotgun sequence.